ensembl:lncRNA
GGUUGUAACGGACCCAAAGGCCUCUCAGAUGGGGCCGCUCUCUCUGAUCCUUCCCCUCCUCUUCCUCCUACGGCCCCGGGCGCCCCCGGGGGGCCCUGUCCUGUGGUACAGUAUCUUCUCCCUCUUUUCUGUUUCCAUAUUUUCCUUGUGUCUUGAAUCUCACUGCCUUGCUUCAGACACACUUUUGCAGCUUCUGUCAUUCUGUCUACUUCCCCUCCUCCGGCUUCUCUAAACUAGCCCCAUUAAAGUUCUGGAUGAGUUAACAGGAAUCUACGAGUCUUCAAGUUGUUAUCAUUUUCAUAAAACCACUCGGCCUUCCUUAAACCAGUGUUGAGAUGUCCUCUGAAAGGUGAUAUUUGGG